rnacentral:rRNA from 1 species
UACGGAGGGUGCGAGCGUUAAUCGGAAUGACUGGGCGUAAAGGGCAUGUAGGCGGGUCAUUAAGUUAGGUGUGAAAUCCCCGGGCUCAACCUGGGAACUGCACUUAAAACUGGUGGUCUGGAGUAUUGUAGAGGAAGGUAGAAUUCCAUGUGUAGCGGUGAAAUGCGUAGAGAUGUGGAGGAAUACCGGUGGCGAAGGCGGCCUUCUGGACAAAUACUGACGCUGAGAUGCGAAAGCGUGGGGAGCAAACAGG